UACGUAGGGGGCUAGCGUUGCUCGGAAUGACUGGGCGUAAAGGGCGCGUAGGCGGAUGGCACAGUCAGAUGUGAAAUUCCCGGGCUUAACCUGGGGGCUGCAUUUGAUACGUGUUGUCUUGAGUUCGGAAGAGGGUCGUGGAAUUCCCAGUGUAGAGGUGAAAUUCGUAGAUAUUGGGAAGAACACCGGUGGCGAAGGCGGCGACCUGGUCCGAUCUGACGUGAGGCGCGAAAGCGUGGGGAGCAAACAGG
rnacentral:rRNA from 1 species